rnacentral:rRNA from 1 species
UGGGGAAUUUUGGACAAUGGGGGAAACCCUGAUCCAGCCAUCCCGCGUGUGCGAUGAAGGCCUUCGGGUUGUAAAGCACUUUUGGCAGGAAAGAAACGUCAUGGGUUAAUACCCCGUGAAACUGACGGUACCUGCAGAAUAAGCACCGGCUAACUACGUGCCAGCAGCCGCGGUAAUACGUAGGGUGCAAGCGUUAAUCGGAAUUACUGGGCGUAAAGCGUGCGCAGGCGGUUCGGAAAGAAAGAUGUGAAAUCCCAGAGCUCAACUUUGGAACUGCAUUUGUAACUACCGGGCUAGAGGGUGUCAGAGGGAGGUGGAAUUCCGCGUGUAGCAGUGAAAUGCGUAGAUAUGCGGAGGAACACCGAUGGCGAAGGCAGCCUCCUGGGAUAACACUGACGCUCAUGCACGAAAGCGUGGGGAGCAAACAGG